rnacentral:rRNA from 1 species
AUGUGGUACCAGAUUAUUGUUGAGUUCAACAAUCGCUUUGCUGAGAAAUCUACUCAACUACUGAGAUGCAUUGCUUGUCUUGACCCAAGAAAUUCUUUUGCCAACUUUGAUAUAAAUAAGCUGGUUGAACUUGCUCAGAUGUAUGGUGCUGAUUUCUCGGAAUAUGAGUGCAGAGUUCUUAGGGACCAACUUGAGACAUUUGUCACUGAAGCUAGAGCUGAUACUGAAUUUUUAAGAUGCAUUGAUCUUGGCCAGCUUGCUAUGAAGAUGGUUCAAACAGAUAGGCACACACAUUUUCGAUUACUAUAUCGUCUCAUUGAAUUGGCCUUGAUUCUGCCUGACGCUACAGCAACAGUAGAAAGAGCUUUCUCAGCUAUGAGCGUUGUCAAAACUGAGUUGCGGAAUAAGAUGAAUGAUUAAUGGAUGAAUCAUCGUUUGGUGUGCUAUAUUGAGCGUGAUGUAUAUGCAAGCAUUGAUGAUAUUAAGAUGAUACAGUGCUAUCAAAAAUGA